AACCCAUGAUAGGGCACCUUUUAAAAAGAUCUUUGAAUCUCUCUCAAACAUUAUUUAGUGUUUCAAUAUCAAAUUGAGCAAAGGAAGAGAUGUCGUUUCUCAACUU
rfam:Gossypium arboreum cultivar AKA8401 contig_98983_1, whole genome shotgun sequence.